UGGGGAAUAUUGCACAAUGGGCGCAAGCCUGAUGCAGCCAUGCCGCGUGUAUGAAGAAGGCCUUCGGGUUGUAAAGUACUUUCAGCGGGGAGGAAGGGAGUAAAGUUAAUACCUUUGCUCAUUGACGUUACCCGCAGAAGAAGCACCGGCUAACUCCGUGCCAGCAGCCGCGGUAAUACGGAGGGUGCAAGCGUUAAUCGGAAUUACUGGGCGUAAAGCGCACGCAGGCGGUUUGUUAAGUCAGAUGUGAAAUCCCCGGGCUCAACCUGGGAACUGCAUCUGAUACUGGCAAGCUUGAGUGUCGUAGAGGGGGGUAGAAUUCCAGGUGUAGCGAUGAAAUGCGUAGAGAUCUGGAGGAAUACCGGUGGCGAAGGCGGCCCCCUGGACGAAGACUGACGCUCAGGUGCGAAAGCGUGGGGAGCAAACAGG
rnacentral:rRNA from 1 species